UACUGCAGCUGUGGUCAGCAGGCUGCUGCCAAGCACGGGGCGCCAAAGGAUGCGCUGUGAGAGCUGCGAAAAAAAGCAUUAAAUCCCGUGUGUGAACCGCUGGGGUCUGCUCGGGGGUGUAGCCAGCGUGCUCCGUGCAGGUGCUGUCACACAGGCUGAGCUCUGUGAAGUUACAGAGCAAUGCUGGGUGCAGGAGGGGCCUUUGCUGUGCUCCCCAGCUCUGCCCCACGUUUGACUCCUAAAUCCGAGUGGUCAGGAAUAUCACACGUGUGCGUGCAGCCCAAUCCAGACCGUUCCUCCAAGCUUGUGAGGAGCUCUGCGCUGCCCCUAAGCGUAAGCAAAGCAGGAGAUCUCCAGGAGGGGAAGAGCAGGAGACACUGCUACAGAGGAGCGUGCUACAUCGCAGGCCCUGUGACCUUCUGUCUGCUCUGAGCAGCGCGCCCGGGCCAAGUUCUUGUCCUGCCCUUUGAGUCAGCUGCGCAGCCUGUGAUUUUUGGAGCCGUGGCUGUUUUCUCUCCCACCUAUGCAAGACGUUUCGUUCCGCAUCCUGUU